ACUUUCUAGAAACACUUUCCAGUACUUCUACUUUGUUACGACUUAUCUCACUUUAAAAUGAGAGUGACGGGCGAUAUGUACAUAUUUAAUUCUAAAUUCAAAUUAAUAUAAUAAAUUUAAUUUUACUAUUAAAUCCACCUUCAAUUUUAUAUUUCAAUAAAAUUUCCGUAUUAAAUAAAAUUUAUUGUAACUCAUUUUAACUUAAAUAUAAACUACAUAAUGAUCUGAAAUAAAUAUUUAAUUAAUAUUAAAGAUAAUUUUUUAUCUUAUAAAAUAAUCUGUUAACGACAAUAAAUAAAUUUUUAAUUUAAGUAAAAUUUCUUGAGGAUUAUCAUUUAAAAAACAAGUUCCCCUAAUUAGAUUUAAAUACCGCCAAUUUUUUUAAGUUUAAAGAAAUUAACUAUUAAUCCUCUAUUAAAAUUUUUAAAUCUAAAAUAAUAGGGUAUCUAAUCCUAGUUUAUUUAAAGAUUUCAUAAUUAAAUAAUUUUUUAUUUAACUUUAACUAAAUUAAAUAAUUUCACCUAAUUUAAUCUAAAUUAUAAAUUAUUUAAUUUAAUUAUAUUAAUUAUUUAAUAAAACAUAUUUACUUUUAUAAAAUGUAUAACCGCAAUUGCUGGCACAUUUUUCAUCUAUAAUAUAAUAAUUUAUAAUUCUAAAUUUCUUUAAUUAUUAAAUUUAAAUACUGCAAAUUAAUUUUUUAUUAAUUAAUUUUUUAAAAAUUAAAUUUUUAAUCCCACAAAAAUUCACAUGUAAAUAAAUCUUAACACAAAUAAAAAAGCCAAAAUCAAACUUUUUAAAAAAAUAAUU
rnacentral:rRNA from 1 species